rnacentral:rRNA from 1 species
UACGUAGGGGGCAAGCGUUGUCCGGAUUUAUUGGGCGUAAAGAGCGUGUAGGCGGCCCGGUAAGUCCGCCGUGAAAGUCCAGGGCUCAACCCUGGAAUGCCGGUGGAAACUGCCGGGCUGGAGUCCGGAAGAGGCGAGUGGAAUUCUUGGUGUAGCGGUGAAAUGCGCAGAUAUCAGGAGGAACACCAAUGGCGAAGGCAGCUCGCUGGGACGGUACUGACGCUGAGACGCGAAAGCGUGGGGAGCAAACAGG